UACGGAGGGAGCUAGCGUUGUUCGGAAUUACUGGGCGUAAAGCGUGCGCAGGCGGUUUUGUAAGCCAGAUGUGAAAUCCCCGGGCUCAACCUGGGAAUGGCAUUUGGGACUGCAAGGCUGGAGUACGGCAGAGGAGGCUGGAAUUCCUGGUGUAGCAGUGAAAUGCGUAGAUAUGCGGAGGAACACCGAUGGCGAAGGCAAUCCCCUGGACCUGUACUGACGCUCAUGCACGAAAGCGUGGGGAGCAAACAGG
rnacentral:rRNA from 1 species